AAAGCAGGCCAGACAAUCGCUGCUUGCCCUCGCAAGGGGGUGAGGGGAGGAAAGUCCGGACUCCACAGGGCAGGGUGUUGGCUAACAGCCAUCCACGGCAACGUGCGGAAUAGGGCCACAGAGACGAGUCUUGCCGCCGGCUUCGGCUGGCGGGAAGGGUGAAACGCGGUAACCUCCACCUGGAGCAAUCCCAAAUAGGCAGACGAUGAAGCGGCCCGCCGAGUCUGCGGGUAGGGAGCUGGAGCCGUCCGGUAACGGCCGGCCUAGAGGAAUGGUUGUCACAUGCCGUGUGCCUGCAAAGGCAUGCGGUGUGCACAGAAUCCGGCUUAUCGGCCUGCUUUGCUC
rnacentral:RNase_P_RNA from 1 species